rnacentral:misc_RNA from 1 species
AGUUAGGUCCAGGUUAGUAAG